rnacentral:lncRNA from 1 species
GCCUGCCUCAGCGUCCGCACUGCCCUUGGUCCGGGGCAGAUGGGGACCAGGAGACAUGGGGCCUUGGGGCAAGCACAGCCCUGGUUUUGGAGCCCAGCAGGGGGCCAAGGUCAAGCCCCUACCCUGCAGCCAGAGGUGGUCGGGGCAUUGAUGUAACAAGAGCAUCCUUGACAACCUCGUGGGCUGCUCUGGAGACCCCCAUCAAAAUGACAGAAUGGGCCGGAAGGCGGUUUGCAGCUAGCUGCCCUGUGCUGCGUCCAUGUACGCAGCAAUCAUCAGACCACCAACUUCCAGAGCUCCAAGGAAUCCCAGUCUUAAAGAAUGUGAACAGGUGUUAUUUGAAAGAAAACAAUUUUUUUUCCUGCAUUAAAAAUAGUUUGGGGGAAAUGCUGGGUUAACUGUCGUGGCCGGCGCAACAAAUCGACCAGGAACGUGAGGGUAAGAGGUUGAAGAAAAGAAGCAGAGAGAAGCAGAGAGAUGGGGGCAGGAGGAGCACUGAGGAGGAUGUCCAACAGUGCUGAUUUUAUCCCACAUCUUACAAGCAUUUAUAAGGCAGACCACAAUAGAAGGAGUCAUACAUCAGUAUCUAGUCAGAUAACCGCAAGUUCCUAUAACAACUUUUACAUUAACUACAAACAAAUCUCGUGAAUAUCAGGUAAGCACGGCUAAUGCCAUUAGCUACUAUUGAUACAAGAAGUUACAAUCAACCAGGGAGUGGAUUACGGGAAGUACCGGAACAACAAGGACCAACUAAGAAUUUAU